rnacentral:rRNA from 2 species
UGGUGGGUAGUUUGACUGGGGCGGUCUCCUCCUAAAGAGUAACGGAGGAGCACGAAGGUUGGCUAAUCCUGGUCGGACAUCAGGAGGUUAGUGCAAUGGCAUAAGCCAGCUUGACUGCGAGCGUGACGGCGCGAGCAGGUGCGAAAGCAGGUCAUAGUGAUCCGGUGGUUCUGAAUGGAAGGGCCAUCGCUCAACGGAUAAAAGGUACUCCGGGGAUAACAGGCUGAUACCGCCCAAGAGUUCAUAUCGACGGCGGUGUUUGGCACCUCGAUGUCGGCUCAUCACAUCCUGGGGCUGAAGUAGGUCCCAAGGGUAUGGCUGUUCGCCAUUUAAAGUGGUACGCGAGCUGGGUUUAGAACGUCGUGAGACAGUUCGGUCCCUAUCUGCCGUGGGCGCUGGAGAACUGAGGGGGGCUGCUCCUAGUACGAGAGGACCGGAGUGGACGCAUCACUGGUGUUCGGGUUGUCAUGCCAAUGGCACUGCCCGGUAGCUAAAUGCGGAAGAGAUAAGUGCUGAAAGCAUCUAAGCACGAAACUUGCCCCGAGAUGAGUUCUCCCUGAGACUUUAGGUCUCCUGAAGGAACGUUGAAGA